GCCCAUGUAUGAUGCACAUUCUUAUUUUUCCCUAAAAAAUUCAGGCAAAAUAAUGUGCGUUAUACAUGGCAUAAUACAGUAGUUAGAGUCUUAGACAAUAGAACCAAACAUGCAGGAUAAUUCACGCAUACUAGAAUUGUUAAAAGCUUUAAAAAGUUGAAAAAUUCUAUUUAAAAGAUUAUUUAAUUUUUUUUCAUUAUCAAACAAAAGUGAAAACUUAAAAAAAAAUCUUGGUCACAUUCAAAGGAGCUGUUUAUCUCAUUACAAGCCUCACACAUACAUCAGAUUUGACAGUGAUCACAAAGUGGCAGGUAUAUAAUUGAAUAAAGGAAUCAAAUUAUUUGAGAUACUUACUUAGUUUACGGAGUAGCAGGAUCAUAUACCUAUUUAAGUGAACAACUAGGGGUAAUAAAUAGAUUUUAUAAGGCUAGAAAACAUUGUGUUACAAAAUAGCACAGGUGAUUUUGUGAUAUAUAACACAACUGCUAUUAAAUCCCAUUACAACCUAAUGUUGUUUCCCCCAACAUUUUACUAGGCAGUUUUGAAACAUAUAUCAAAGUUGGAGGAAUUUUAUAAUAACUAUACCCACAUCUAGAUUCUGCCUUUAACAUAUCAUUCUACCCACCACCUCUUCGCCUGUCUGUAUCCUCUCUGCAUCCAGCAAUUCUUAUUUCCUUUUGAUGCAUUUUAAAGUUAAUCGUAGACAGUACACUUUCUCCUAUAUUUUAGUGUGCCUAUCAUUAACCAGAGUUAAUAUGUUUAUGGUGUUUUUUGAGGUAAAAAUAAUACAAUUAAAUGCACACAUCUUAAGUGUAUAUUUGCUGAGCUUUGUCAAAUGCAUACCUCCAAGCUCUUCUCAAGAUAAAGAACAUUCCACCACUCCAGACAGCUCCUUCAUGCUCUUUGCAGUUGGUCUCUGCUCCCUUCCCUUACCCAGUGCAACUACUUUUCUGUUUCUUUUCCACCACAGAUUAGUUUUGCCUGUUCCAGAACUAAAUGUAAAUGGAAUCAUACAGUCUGUACUCUUCUAUCUAGGCUCCUUUUGCUGUGCACAUUGAUUUUGAAAUUCAUCCAUUUGUGCAUAUCAGUACUGUUAACUUUUUACAGCUGAGUAGUGUUCCUCAUCUGACCAUACCUCAGUUUGUUUAUCCAUCUUCCUCUUAAUGGAUUCCUGAGCUGUUGACAGCUUUUGGCUCUUCUGAAUGAAGCUGUUAGGAAUAUUCUCAUACAGGUCUUUUUGUAGACACAUUUUAAUUUUUCCUGGGAUAAAGAGUAGAAUUGUUGGACUCCAGGAUUAAUGUAUGUUUAAGUUUUAUACUAGACCUUUUUCUGUGGUUGUACCAUUUCACAUACCCACCAACACUGUAUGAGAGAUGUGGUUGCUCCACAUCCUUGGCAACUUUGGUGUUGUGUUUUCAAUGAUCUAACUUUAAGCAUUGUCAUUUAUAAAUGAUUGGAAGAAAAGUGAUACCUAUUAGUUUUUAUUAUUCUCCUAGGUAGGAAUUAAAAAAUUAAUUAUAUUGCUUAUUUAUUGUUCUAAUCAUUUCUUUUUUUUAAGCUUUUUAUUUUGACAUACAUGCAGGCUUACAGAAAGUUGCCCUAGACCAUUAUUCAGCAUUUGACAGUUUUCACCAGUUUUUAAUUUAAAUAUUCUUUUCCUUCCUGUGUAAGAAACCAUUAUCUCAUGGUUUUUCACCAACCACUCAUUGCAGUUUCUCUGCAUGAUUUUCAUUCUCUGCAGAGUCCUUGUAGUUAUUCCCUGUUUUAGCCUUAAUACUCUGUUUUUUAUUCUGUUGAAUUCUUCUGGGUCAUUUUACUCAAACCCAUAGCUUCAACUGCUACCUGUGCUCUGACCCCUAAAUCUGCUUCUGCAGCCCAGAUCUCUUUCUUCACUCUUAGCUGUAAACUAUGUAUA